rnacentral:rRNA from 1 species
GAUGAACGCUAGCGGCAGGCCUAAUACAUGCAAGACGAACGGUAAGUUGAGUAGCAAUACUUAGCCAAGAGUGUCGUACGGGUGCGUAACACGUAUGCAACCUACCCUAUACAGGAGGAUAGCCUAGGGAAACCUGGAUUAACCCUUCAUAGUAUUAUUGGAUGGCAUCAUUUGAUAAUUAAAACUGAGGUGGUAUAGGAUGGGCAUGCGUCUGAUUAGUUAGUUGGCGGGGUAAUGGCCCACCAAGACGAUGAUCAGUAGGGGUUCUGAGAGGAAGAUCCCCCACACUGGCACUGAGAUACGGGCCAGACUCCUACGGGAGCAGCAGUAGGGAAUAUUGGUCAAUGGAUGCAAGUCUGAACCAGCCAUGCCGCGUGCAGGAAGAAGGCCUUCUGGGUUGUAAACUGCUUUUGCCAGGGGAUAAAAUUUCCAUGCGUGGAAAACUGAAGUACCUGGUGAAUAAGCCACGGCUAACUACGUGCCAGCAGCCGCGGU